rnacentral:rRNA from 1 species
AAAGAAAAUAACAAUGAUUCCCCUAGUAACUGCGAGUGAAGAGGGACAAGCUCAAAUUUUAAAUCUGUUAGGUUUACCUAACCGAGUUGUGAUUUGAAGAGGCGUUUUCUGUGUUUCUGAUCAGCCCAAGUCCUUUGGGAUAGGGCAUCAUGGAGGGUGAGAAUCCCGUUCGGUUGAUCAGAUUCGCUUUACGAUACGUCAUCUAAGAGUCAAGUUGUUUGGGAUUGCAGCUUAAAAUGGGAGGUAAAUUUCUCCUAAGGCUAAAUAACGGCGAGAGACCGAUAGCGAACAAGUACCGUGAGGGAAAGAUGAAAAGAACUUUGAAAAGAGAGUUAAACAGUACGUGAAAUUGUUGAAAGGGAAACGAUUGAAGCCAGUCGUACCUUCGGGUAAUCAGCCUUUCGAGUGCGAUUCUGUGGAGUGUGAGGAGUUAAACGCCUUCAUGCCUGCAUAUUCGUGCACUUUGGGUGUACUUGCCCGUGUGGUAGGUUAACAUCAAUUUCGGAUGUCAUAAAAUGGCUGGAGGAAUGUAGCUUCGGUCUCGUACUGAAGUGUUAUAGCCUUUGGUAGAUGUGAUGACCGGGAUUGAGGAUUGCAACGAAUACCUUUUGGGCUAUCCGUCUGAUCUCUGAAAGUUGCUCUGGUGCCGAAAGCUUGCUUACGGUUAUCAAAGUUGACGUUCAAAAGGUUAGAACGGGUUAAAUUCGUUAAGGAUGUUG